UACGUAGGGCGCGAGCGUUGUCCGGAAUUACUGGGCGUAAAGGGCUCGUAGGCGGCCAACUAAGUCAGACGUGAAAUCCCCAGGCUCAACCUGGGAACUGCGUCUGAUACUGGAUGGCUUGAAUUCGGGAGAGGGAUGCAGAAUUCCAGGUGUAGCGGUGAAAUGCGUAGAUAUCUGGAGGAAUACCGGUGGCGAAGGCGGCAUCCUGGACCGACAUUGACGCUGAGGAGCGAAAGCCAGGGGAGCAAACGGG
rnacentral:rRNA from 1 species